rnacentral:lncRNA from 1 species
UUGGUCAAGGUAGUUUUUGAUGAAGCUGAAGUCCAAUCAACUUGAAACUUAGUACACAUGUUCCUUAUGAUAUGAUCUUUCUAAUUUUACAGCCAAGUUAAACUUUUGACCCCAAUUUCACGGACCACUGAACAUAGAAAAUUAAAGUGUGAGUUUCAGGUUAAAGUUUUUGGUCAAGGUAGUUUUUGAUGAAGUUGUAGUCCAAUCAACUUGAAACUUAGUACACAUGUUCCCUAUGGUGUGAUCUUUCUAAUUUAAUGCCAAAUUAGAUUUUUUACCCAAUUUCACGGUCUAUUGAACAUGUAAAAUAAUAGUGCAAGUGGGGCAUCCGUGUACUUUGGACACAUUCUUGUUUGUAUGUGAAGUUAUAGUAACGAAUUUUCAAUUUAAAGAGUAAUUUACAGUAAAAAAAAUAUUGAUUGAAUUUUGUAUUAUAAAACAAAUAGCACAUAGCUGAGAGGGUGAUAGAGCAGGUUGGUAUCCCUUAAAAAAGCAUUGCUAAUCUUGGCUUCGCCUCAGUUGACAAUGUUUUCUGGAGAAAGCAAUCUGCUCUAUCACCCUUUCAGCUAUGUGCUAUUUAUAUUCUAUCAUAUAUCAUCAGACACCCUGAAAUUUUAAUGGAAAAGUGACAAAACUAAC